GGUUUAUUUUGGGGGUGAUGGAAAUGUUCUAAAAUUAGGUAGUGGUGGUAGUUCUACAUUAUGUUGAAUAUACUAAAAUCCACUGAGACAUACACUUUAAAAUGGUGAAUUUUUAAUGUUAUGUAAAUUAUAUCUCGAUUAUUUUUUAAAAAGGGUUAAAAACCAGCAUAUAAGAAUCUAUCAGGCUCAUAUGGCCUAUCAGGGCUUGGCAGCAUCGUUUGGUAUGGGAAAGCCUGCAGUUUGUGAAAAGCUCCUUGGUGCCCUUUUUCCAGCCUUCUCAAUGGCUUAGUCCCUGUGUAUCCAUUCUAGGUGAAUGCCCCCCUGUUCUGAGUCUGUGGAGAACUGAAUACUCAGCAAGUUUGAGACUCCUAGUUGUUGGUAGUUGUACUUCAAAUUGACUCUGAAUUGACAGCCAUUAUAAGGAGCAAGCACGUUUUUCCCAGUGCCUUUGUAAAAAUGAACAAAGUGGGUGGGAGGUAGAAGAGAAAGUUGCUCUUCUGCUGAAAAGUAAUGAAUAACGUUCUCAGGUACUUUAUGGUUGUUUUAAUGUUCACAUAGACAUUUCUUUAAGGACAGGCCAUGUGUUUUAGGCAUUUUAAAUUGUAUUAAUAGCUAUAAUAUUUUAGUUCAAAUAAUCACAAAUUUUUUAUUAUUUCUCUAUACAAUCCCUCAACUUUCACCCCUUUUUUCUUUGCCAGUGUGUAGAAUUUGACAGCAGUAUCAAGAGCUGAUGAGGAGGAGAAGAUGGAAAGGAGUCUAGCGACUUAAAAAUCUCAUAGCAUUCUCUGUGAGCAGCUGAAGAAAUAUGUCUAGAGAAAACAAACUUGUUUAAAAGUGUUAGCCUUUCGACAAGAACAAUUUCUCAAAAUGUUGAAGUCCUUGGGAGCAGUAUCAGUAGUCAAAAAACAAGGCAAAUGAUUUCACGUGGUUUUCCUUGGCUCUAGAUGAGUCAACAGAUCCUACCGCUACUCUUGGUUUCUUCAUGGAGUCAAUGUCUCGUUUGAAGUGACUGAAGAAUUAGCAUCAAUGAAUAGUCUAUUUAAAACAACGACAGCUGAGAAUAUUUUCAAAAAACUGAGGACAACCUGAAGUAUGAUCUGAUGAUAUCUGUUACAACUGAUGGUGGUAAGAAUAUUGUGGAGCAGAAAAAAACCUCACUGGACAAAUUUGCAAAGCUUAUGAAAUUGUAAGGUGUUUAAAGCCUGUGGUUGGUUAUUCAUUAUAUUAUUCAUCAGGUUCUUUGGGGAAAAAUACUUGAAUCUAUCAUGUGUUACUGAACCAUUAGAAUCAGCAGUGAACUUCACUCCCUCUUGUGGACUUCACCAUGAUCAAUUCCAUGAAUUUCUGUCAGAAAAAGAAACUGAAUAUUCUGAUGCCCUACCACACAAUAGUUUGAUGGCUCAGCAGUGGUGAAGUUUUCUUGUAAUUUUCUGAGUUCAGGGCUGACAUCGAAACUUUCCUGAAUGAGAAGAAUCAUUCUCAACUACUACUGAACACUGAAUAGCUUUGGAAAUUGGCUUUUGCUGCAGACUUGAUAAGGUUUUUUAAUGAAUUCAACCUAAAAUUACAGGGCAAACAGCUUGUUUGCAAACCUUAAAUUGUAGUUCAGUCAUUUCGACUACUAACGUUUGAGUCACGUCCAGUUACUUUAUAUACUUCCUGUGUACUGUCAGAAGUUGAAACAAAGGCAAGAUCUACAUUCCUACACAAAGGUCCUGUGGAUAUGAUUUCUAAAGAAAAACUACAGUUCUAACUGAUUUUGCAGCUCGGUGUGAAUGCAAAAGAAAUUUCGUAUUUCAAAAUCCAUUUACCUGUGCAACUAAGGAGUUUACACCAAACCUUCAAGUGGAAGUGAUUAAAAGGCAAAUAUCAAGACUCCAAUAUAAUCCUACAAGUGUCUUCUAAGAGAAGGAUAUGCUCAAUUAAAAUCAUGCUUGUGGAAUGAUAACGGCAUUUGGCCAUAACUAUCUAUGUGAAAAGACGUUUUCAAAGGUGAAAUAUGUAAAAUCUUGUUACAGAAUCUGCAUUAGCAGAGGAACAUUUAUAACCAAUUUGAUGCGAGGGACCCUUAACUUUACAAAUAUUAUUCCACCCACCCCCCAAAAUCUGGUCUCAUUAGACCUUUAUUGUAGCCAACUAUUAUAUUUUGAAUUUCAUCAAUAAAAAUGGAAGUUUUGUUUUUU